rnacentral:rRNA from 1 species
GACGUAGGGGGCCAGCGUUGUUCGGAAUUACUGGGUGUAAAGGGUUCGUAGGCGGUGCGGCAAGUUGGGAGUGAAAUCUCUGGGCUUAACCCAGAGGCUGCUUCCAAAACUGCUGUGCUUGAGUGUGGGAGAGGCGCGUGGAAUUGCAGGUGUAGCGGUGAAAUGCGUAGAUAUCUGCAGGAACACCCGUGUCGAAAGCGGCGCGCUGGACCUCUUCUGACGCUGAGGCGCGAAAGCCAGGGGAGCAAACGGG